UGUACUCUUGGGGCUGCAGAUAAUUGGUUAGUAAUAUUCUGUUGGAAUGUAACUAUCAGCUGUAUGAUAAAAGAUUUCAGAAUACUCCACAGUUCCAAUCGGCUCUACAUCUUCAGAUUUUUGUUUUCAUUCACAGACCGAUUCUCCAUCUUCAGAUUUGUAUUUUAAUUUUCCUUCAUUGUCUUUUGGUUUUUCAAUUUGUUGUACUGAUGGUUGCAAUUUCAAGUUAUUUUCUCUCUCAUGUUGCCAUAAUUUUCUUUAGAGUUUUCAAUUUCAUAAACAGAUGAUUCCUACUGUCAUUCUUAAUCUAUUUAUUUUUGCCAUAUUUCAAUCAUUCUUCACAAUCUUGAUUUUUAUCAUCUCAUCUGGGUCUUUCAAUAUCAGGUAUGUUUUCUAGCAAAUUUCUUCUACUCUCAAAAAUUUUGUCAUAAUUUUUCUCAACGUUUCCAGAAGACUCCAUUCCUUAUCUCUUUGUUCCUUUCUCCCAUUUUCCUUUCACAAUCAUACAACUUCUUAUUCUUCUUCCUCAAGCUCUCAAACACUAACUCUAAUCUUCGAUCCAAACAACAACAAGAACACUAACUUCUCAAAUAUGAUGCUGCUUGUACUGCUCACUUUGCACAAUAUCUAUCUAGAAUCAUUGAUUUGCCUCUCUAUCAUAUUCUUUAGUGUCACAACGCGUUAAACUUCAGGUAUGGGAUACCAUGAUAAUUGAAUCUGUAUUAAAGACAUACUACGAAUCUGACUCAUAUUAUUGACAUGAGCUCUUCUGAGAAACAUCACUGGAUACUACUAUCUCUUAUUAGAUGUUGAUUGCAUAUGGAGGAACCAUCUCGAAAGGGAAUGGUUAGCUUCUGCCGUUUCUUCUAUUCGUCCCACAUUUUGAAGAGGAAUUUAUAUACAAGUUAAUGACUAAUGUAUAUGAAUUCAUUUACAUUUUUCUGGUGUGGAUGUCAAAUCAUGAGUGUUAAACGACAGUUACUUAAAAUAUUUAUCAUGUAGUUUAACAACCACGAAGUCUUGGGCUUAGGAAUGGAAGAGGUCGAGGCAAUACCAAGUCAAGCAAGUUAUGCAACACGAACUUGUAAGAUAAGGCUACUUGAUAUGACGCAAUAUAAAUAAUGGUACAAGUUUCAGCAACCAAAAAAAAUAGGUGAGGAAAUGAACUAAUAGAGGAUCUGAAUGGUGGUUGGAGUGGUAUCAUCCUUGUGUAAUUUUUAGCGCACAUUUUUGUAAAGAUAAUAAUAGCACUUUAUCUUCUUGUAAUUUGUACGAGAAAACAAUCUGAAUAUUAUCAUUUUUAUUUUUAUACGGAGUAUGGGGUGGUAUG